rnacentral:rRNA from 1 species
AACGAACGCUGGCGGCAGGCCUAACACAUGCAAGUCGAGCGCGCCCUUCGGGGUGAGCGGCGGACGGGUGAGUAACGCAUGGGAAUAUGCCUUUCUCUACGGAAUAGCCCUGGGAAACUGGGGGUAAUACCGUAUACGCCCUACGGGGGAAAGAUUUAUCGGGGAAGGAUUAGCCCGCGUUGGAUUAGCUAGUUGGUGAGGUAAUGGCUCACCAAGGCGACGAUCCAUAGCUGGUUUGUGAGGAUGAUCAGCCACACUGGGACUGAGACACGGCCCAGACUCCUACGGGAGGCAGCAGUGGGGAAUCUUAGACAAUGGGGGAAACCCUGAUCUAGCCAUGCCGCGUGAGUGAUGAAGGCCUUAGGGUUGUAAAGCUCUUUCAGCUGGGAAGAUAAAGACGGUACCAGCAGAAGAAGCCCCGGCUAACUCCGUGCCAGCCGCCGCUGUAA